AUUAGCGCAAUGGAUAGCGCGUUGGAUUCCUAAUCCAAUGGUCGUGGGUUCAAUUACUACCUGAAAUG